GAUCCUGGCUCAGGAUGAACGCUAGCUACAGGCUUAACACAUGCAAGUCGAGGGGCAUCAGGGUCUGUGCUUGCACAGAUUGCUGGCGACCGGCGCACGGGUGAGUAACGCGUAUCCAACCUUCCCCUUAGUAGAGGAUAGCCCGGCGAAAGUCGGAUUAAUACUCUAUGUUGUUCAAUGCGGACAUCUAAGUUGAACCAAAGGUUUACCGCUAAGGGAUGGGGGAUGCGUCUGAUUAGGGUAGUAGGCGGGGUAACGGCCCACCUAGCCAACGAUCAGUAGGGGUUCUGAGAGGAAGGUCCCCCCACAUUGGAACUGAGACACGGUCCAAACUCCUACGGGAGGCAGCAGUGAGGAAUAUUGGUCAAUGGACGAGAGUCUGAACCAGCCAAGUAGCGUGCAGGAUGACGGCCCUAUGGGUUGUAAACUGCUUUUAUGCGGGGAUAAAGUGAGGGACGUGUCCCUUAUUGUAGGUACCGCAUGAAUAAGGACCGGCUAAUUCCGUGCCAGCCGCCGC
rnacentral:rRNA from 1 species